CAAGUCGAACGCGAAAGUGGAGCAAUCCAUGAGUAGAGUGGCAAACGGGUGAGUAACGCGUGGGCGACCUACCUUCAAGUGGGGGAUAACUUUCCGAAAGGAGGGCUAAUACCGCAUGACAUCCUGUUUUUGGAUAAACGGGUAUCAAAGCCGGGGAUCGCAAGACCUGGCGCUAGAAGAGGGGCCCGCGUCCGAUUAGCUAGUUGGUGAGGUAACGGCUCACCAAGGCUCCGAUCGGUAUCCGGCCUGAGAGGGCGGACGGACACACUGGAACUGAGACACGGUCCAGACUCCUACGGGAGGCAGCAGUGGGGAAUUGUUCACAAUGGGCGCAAGCCUGAUGACGCAACGCCGCGUGGAGGAUGAAGAUUUUCGGAUCGUAAACUCCUUUCGACCGAGAUGAAUUUCUGCCGACCUAAUACGUCGGCAGGGUGACAGUAUCGAGGGAAGCAGCCCCGGCUAACUCCGUGCCAGCAGCCGCGGUAAUACGGGGGGGGCAAGCGUUGUUCGGAAUUACUGGGCGUAAAGGGUUUGUAGGUGGCUUGCUAAGUCAGACGUGAAAUCCCUCAGCUUAACUGAGGAACUGCGUCUGAGACUGGCAAGCUUGAGUGCAGGAGAGGAACGCGGAAUUCCAGGUGUAGCGGUGAAAUGCGUAGAUAUCUGGAGGAACACCGGUGGCGAAGGCGGCGUUCUGGACUGUAACUGACACUGAUGAACGAAAGCCAGGGGAGCAAACGGGAUUAGAUACCCCGGUAGUCCUGGCCCUAAACGAUGAAUGCUUGGUGUGGCGGGUAUCGAUCCCUGCCGUGCCGUAGUUAACGCGUUAAGCAUUCCGCCUGGGGAGUACGGUCGCAAGGCUGAAACUCAAAGGAAUUGACGGGGGCCCGCACAAGCGGUGGAGCAUGUGGUUCAAUUC
rnacentral:rRNA from 1 species